UUAAAAAAACCUCUCAACCCUUUAGUCCUCCGACCAUUGGUCGGUCAUCGGACCCUCGCCGGCCACCGUACCGGCCGCCUAUCUCCGGCGCCGGUACCAUCGUCCACGGUGGCCGGAAAAAAAAAUUCCCCUUUUAACCUUCUUAACCUCUUGAGCGUAGAUCCGGGCUCAAACCUCGCGAAAUAUUGACGAAUGGGCCUCUAGAAGCAAAAAAACCUUUCGGCUUCCGGUCGUCAAUCCUCGGUGACGACUUCCUUGGCCAUCCACGGCGGUUAGGGGCCUAAAACAGGUGUAGAUCGUGAAGAUUCGGGGGUGAGGCAAGGCUCGACUGCGGCGCUGUUGAAGAUUAGAAACCCUAGGGUUUUAUCCGUUUUGGGCCAUUGUAAUUUGGGCCACCACUUUAUUUUGGUUUGGGCCUUGUAGCCCGUUUUGUAUUUGGACACUAUGGCUGUUUUUUUAUUUACAAAAGGGACGGGUAAAAUUUAGGUAUUACAAACGUAUUUUAAAUA